AAUGAAAUAAUGCCACUUGCAGCAACAUGGAUGGACCCAGAGAUGAUCAUACUCAGUGGAGCUCACUGCUGCGGCUGCCUGCCUGGUUGAUGGCCUUGACAAUGAAGAUGUACUUGGUGCCGCUUUGCAGCCCGUGGACCGUGUAGUGGUUCUGCUUGAUGUUGGGCACGAUCAUCCAGCUAUCGGCCGAGUUGCACAGACCUGCAAAGCCAAGCAGAUGUGGUGCUGUGGGAUGGAAAGAAAGCAAGUGACCACACAUCCCUCCCCCUGACUUGCAUCAUGAUGACUGUUCAGUCUUGGAUCUCAUCAAUUUUGAGACUCACAGAGGGAUCUGUAUCUAAGUGACUCUGUGGCUACUCCUUCUAAAGAGAUGGGAUAUGUUGUCUUUUACCUCGUGGCUUUGGAUUUGGCUAUGUGACCUGCUCUGGCCAAGAGAACGAGGCUGCAGUGACAACACACCAGUGGCAAGAG